UCUCCAGCUCCUGCCCAGAUGCUCCUGUCAUCCCCUUCCCGCCCAGCCACAGCCCCACCAGCUGGAUGUCCUGGGCUGAGAGUUGCGUGGGCAACAUCAGUGCUGGGUUGCAUUCCAGGAAACAGGUCCCUGCUUUUAGAAAAACCUCACCUGGCCCCCGAGGCCCCUGCAUAUCUGAGGGUUUGUACUAUUUAUAGCAUUACAUUGUAAUGAGCAGUGUUGGGGAAUUUAGUUCCAUCUUUAAAGUGCUGAAUCUGCUCUUUUUCAUUCUCUCAAAUUAGAAGGGUAUGUUCAUUAACAAGGAAAUGGAAACAAAAGAGAGAACGCUUGCAGCUUCUCCUCCCACGAUGACAUUCAGUGUGCUGUCCACCAGAUCUCUCAACCCAGUUCAUCAAAAGUUGGUCUCAAACUACCAGUCCUGCAGGACUUAGAAAGCUCUAAACACAUUAUCAGAGACGGUGGCAGCUCCGCAGCAAUGGUCAGAGCCGGCGUUCCAGUGUCCCCGUGCGUCAAGGUGCACAUGCGGCAGUUUCCAGACCUCAGCUUCAGAAGCCUGGAUGCCACAGCCGAGAUGCCAGCUUGAGCUCAGUGAUCACAGCAGCUCCAGGCAGAGGUAGCAGCUCCCUCAGAGUUUCAGAGCCAUCCUGUAGCCCAGACUUCAUCCCUCCAGAUGUCUGAAGAUUCGGAAGCCCCCUGAUGCCUUGUAUUAAACUGCUUUCUGCUUAA